CCAAAGGGCUACAAAGCAAGGUGUCGAGGCCGAGGACUUCUGAGGGAGCAGUCCAACACAUUAAGUAGCCACCCAGGAACACAUACAAAUACAUCCUAAUACAAGCCCAACAUUUAUUUUAUGUAAAUAAAUCCAUAAGUCUUUUUUUUUUCACUUUAUUAUCCAAAAAAUACAUUACAAAAUACAAUAACAACGAAUUUUAUGGUAUCACAACAACAAAUGUAAAAGCUUUGUUCAGAAAUUGUUCAUAGUUCUUGCUUUUAUUCGCUUGUCCUUUUUCCUGCCCUAGUCGCAAGAAGGUCCGCAUACAUUUGAAGCCAUACAACCCACAUGUGGGCUUACAUCUCACACGAAAU